rnacentral:rRNA from 1 species
CGCAGCCGCGGUAAUUCCAGCUCCAAUAGCGUAUAUUAAAGUUGCUGCAGUUAAAAAGCUCGUAGUUGAAUUUCGGGACCAUCACGUCGGUCGUGCCUCGGUACGUACUGGCGUCGUUGGUUUCUCCCUUCUGACGAACCAUGAUGUCAUUUAUUUGGUGUCGUGGGGAAUCAGGACUGUUACUUUGAAAAAGUUAGAGUGUUUAAAGCAGGCUCACGCUUGAAUACAUUAGCAUGGAAUAAUGAAAUAGGACGUUUGAUUCUAUUUUGUUGGUUUCUAGGAUCGACGUAAUGAUUAAUAGGGAUAGUUGGGGGCAUUAGUAUUCAAUUGUCAGAGGUGAAAUUCUUGGAUUUAUUGAAGACUAACUACUGCGAAAGCAUUUGCCAAGGAUGUUUUCAUUAAUCAAGAACGAAAGUUAGGGGAUCGAAGACGAUCAGAUACCGUCGUAGUCUUAACCAUAAACUAUGCCGACUAGGGAUCGGAUGAUGUUAAUUUUUUAAUGACUCAUUCGGCGCCUUAC